rnacentral:rRNA from 1 species
GAGGGAAAGGUGAAAAGCACCCCGGAAGGGGAGUGAAACAGUUCCUGAAACCGUGUGCCUACAAGUAGUUAGAGCCCGUUAAUGGGUGAUAGCGUGCCUUUUGUAGAAUGAACCGGCGAGUUACGAUUUGUUGCAAGGUUAAGCGGAAAAAGCGGAGCCGUAGCGAAAGCGAGUCUGAAUAGGGCGCAUAAGUAACAGGUCGUAGACCCGAAACCAGGUGAUCUACCCAUGUCCAGGAUGAAGGUAAGGUAAUACUUACUGGAGGUCCGAACCCACGCACGUUGAAAAGUGCGGGGAUGAGGUGUGGGUAGCGGAGAAAUUCCAAUCGAACUUGGAGAUAGCUGGUUCUCUC